rnacentral:rRNA from 1 species
GAUGAACGCUGGCGGCGUGCUUAAUACAUGCAAGUCGAGCGAACAGACGAGGAGCUUGCUCCUCUGACGUUAGCGGCGGACGGGUGAGUAACACGUGGAUAACCUACCUAUAAGACUGGGAUAACUUCGGGAAACCGGAGCUAAUACCGGAUAAUAUAUUGAACCGCAUGGUUCAAUAGUGAAAUACGGUUUUGCUGUCACUUAUAGAUGGAUCCGCGCCGCAUUAGCUAGUUGGUAAGGUAACGGCUUACCAAGGCAACGAUGCGUAGCCGACCUGAGAGGGUGAUAGGCCACACUGGAACUGAGACACGGUCCAGACUCCUACGGGAGGCAGCAGUAGGGAAUCUUCCGCAAUGGGCGAAAGCAUGACGGAGCAACGGCGCGUGAGUGAUGAAGGUCUUCGGAUCGUAAAAAUCUGUUAUUAGGGAAGAACAAAUGUGUAAGUAACUAUGCACGUCUUGACGGUACCUAAUCAGAAAGCAACGGCUAACUACGUG